rnacentral:tRNA from 2 species
GCCUACGUAGCUCAGCGGUAGAGCACUUCCUUGGUAAGGAAGAGGUCACCGGUUCAAGUCCGGUCGUAGGCUCCA